UACGUAGGGGGCGAGCGUUGUCCGGAGUUACUGGGCGUAAAGCGCACGCAGGCGGUCUGCUAAGUUUGGAGUGACAGUUGGUGGCUUAACUGCCAAAGUGCUUCGAAAACUGACAGACUUGAGGGCUUCAGAGGGACACGGAAUUCCGGGUGGAGUGGUGAAAUGCGUAGAGAUCCGGAGGAACACCGACGGCGAAAGCACUCUGCUGGGCCGACACUGACACUGAGAGACGAAAGCUAGGGGAGCAAAUGGG
rnacentral:rRNA from 1 species